rnacentral:rRNA from 1 species
UACAGAGGGGGCAAGCGUUGUUCGGAAUUACUGGGCGUAAAGGGCGCGUAGGCGGCCUUCUAAGUCGAACGUGAAAUCCCCGGGCUCAACCCGGGAACUGCGUCCGAUACUGGAAGGCUUGAAUCCGGGAGAGGGAUGUGGAAUUCCCGGUGUAGAGGUGAAAUUCGUAGAUAUCAAGCAGAACACCUGCGGCGAAGGCGGCCUUCUGGACGAUGACUGACGCUGAGACACGAAAGCGUGGGGAGCAAACAGG